rnacentral:rRNA from 1 species
AUUGAACGCUGGCGGCAGGCCUAACACAUGCAAGUCGAGCGGAGCGGCGGACGGGUGAGUAAGGCCUAGGAAUCUGCCUGGGAGUGGGGGAUGACGUCAGGCAACGGGCGCUAAUACCGCCUACUAUCACAUGAGACUAGGCCGGAUUAGCUAGUUGGUGGGGUAAAGGCCUACCAAGGCGACGAUCCGUACCUGGUCUGAGAGGAUGAUCAGUCACACUGGAACUGAGACACGGUCCAGACUCCUACGGGAGGCAGCAGUGGGGAAUAUUGGACAAUGGGCGAAAGCCUGAUCCAGCCAUGCCGCGUGUGUGAAGAAGGUCUUCGGAUUGUAAAGCACUUUAAGUUGGGAGGCGUUACCAACAGAAGAAGCACCGGCUAACUCCGUGCCAGCAGCCGCGGUAAUUC